CGGCCCGCGGUAUAGAAGGGCCGGCGGGGCAGGUGCGGGCGGUUGUGUGUGAGGGCUGAGGGUGCGGCCCCGCUGCUGCCCGGGCUGCGGAGGGGAGAGCGCCUUGGCCGCUGGCCUGGCUCGUGGUUUCCCCUGGUGCUGGGGAGUGGAGGCGAGUUGUGCUUCCUGCUGGGAGAGAGAACGGCCUUGGGAAGCUGCUCCAUGACCCACAGCUGUGCCGAGCCCGGGAGUCUGUCCAGGGAGGCAGUUUGCAAGGACAGGUGGUUGCUGUGCUCUCUAGCAAAAAUAGUCCCCUUGGGAUGUCCAGGGUGAGGAAAUGUUGGCCACGUGUGGGCUGGAGCAAAGACUUCACAAAGCUCCCAGGAAAGGAAG